UACGAAGGGGGCUAGCGUUGCUCGGAAUUACUGGGCGUAAAGCGCACGUAGGCGGCUUUCUAAGUCGGGGGUGAAAUCCUGGAGCUCAACUCCAGAACUGCCUUCGAUACUGGAGAGCUCGAGUCCGGGAGAGGUGAGUGGAACUGCGAGUGUAGAGGUGAAAUUCGUAGAUAUUCGCAAGAACACCAGUGGCGAAGGCGGCUCACUGGCCCGGUACUGACGCUGAGGUGCGAAAGCGGUGGGGAGCAAACAGG
rnacentral:rRNA from 1 species